rnacentral:rRNA from 1 species
GAUGAACGCUAGUGGCAGGCUUAAUACAUGCAAGUCGAGGGGUAUAGAGGAGCUUGCUCUCCUAGAGACCGGCAAACGGGUGCGGAACACGUACACAACCUUCCUUUUAGUGGGGGAUAGCCCAGGGAAACUUGGAUUAAUACCCCGUAACAUGAUGAUGAGGCAUCUUAUUAUUAUUAUAGUGGCAACACGCUAGAAGA